GACACCCAACUUCUUCAAAAGAUGGUGAUGAAUCGGCCCUGUGAGAGACUUGGUGAACAGAUCUGCGAGGUGAGAAGAGGAGCGAACAUAUGAGAGUGAAAUUAGGCCGGCAAGGAACUGUUGUCUGACGAAAUGACAGUCUAGUUCGACAUGUUUAGUUAUUUCGUGCAAUAUGAAUUGCUGUCUGACUGUCCGAAUGAAGAGGAACAAGAAGUGAAAUUGGGGUAGAAAGAUAAUCAAAUAAGCGUACCAACCAAGUGAGCUCAGCCACAACUCGUCGCAUUGAACGGUAUUCAGCUUCUGCAGAAAUGAGAGAAAUGGAUGUUUGUUUUUUUGAUUUCUAUGAAAUUGGGGAUGAGCAAAGAGAGAUGUAGAACCCACUGACGGAUUUGCACGAAUUAGGGCAAGUGGCCUGGUCGGAAUCACAAAAUGCAAGGAGCUGGUAUGAAGGUGAGGAAGACAUAAAGAGCCCAAGUCCAGGAUCCUUCAAUAAAUAGCGGAGGACACGAAGUGCAGCAUUGAUAUGAGGUUGUCUAGGAUCCUAUAUGUACUGGCUAAGGUGUUGUAUAGUGUAGGAUAAAUCCGUUCUUGUAUGUAUCAAGUAAUUUAGCUUGCCCAACAAAUAGUGAUACAAAGUCGGGUAAGGGAUAGAGUCACCAGUCUGAGCAAGUAGGCAAGCAGAUGGGUCAAGAGGGCAAGAAACAGGCGACUUGUGGAGAGAAUCAAAUUCAUGCAGUAAAUCAAGGGUGAAUUUCCGCUGAGACAGAAUCAAACCAUGAGACUCUCGUAGAACUUCCAUUCCUAAAAAAUAAUGUAAGUGUCCAAGAUCCUUGAUUCUGAACUCCUGAUGUAAAAAUUCUUUCAAUUCAGUCAAUUCCUUUGUAUCAUUACCUAUUAGUAAUAUAUCGCCGACAUAUACUGCCACAAUAGAGAUAGAUAAAUAUGUCCGUUUAAAAAAACAAAGAGUAAUCGUUCAAUAAAUAUGUGUAGCCCUUGAAAUUAAGAGCAGUAGUAAGUUUAGAAUACCAUUGCCUAGAAUCUUGACGAAGUCCAUAAAUGGACUUCUUCAACUUACAAACAUGGUUAGGAGAAGGUGGUGUAAAUCCAACUAGGAAUUUCAUAUAGACUUCUUCGUUUAAAUCACCAUGUAAGAACGCAUUGUUCCCAUCCAAUUGAUAAAGACCCCAACUUUUCUUAACUGCAACAACUAAAAUGCAUCUGAUGGUGGCCAUCUUGAUCACUGGGGAAAAGGCCUCAUUGAAGUCUAUCCCCUCUCUAUGUAUAUCACCUCUUACCACCAACCUAGCCUUUAGCCUUUCCACACUACCAACCUGCAAGGUAAAGCCUUUCUACCUGGGGGUAAUUCUAUAACUUUCCAAGUUUUAUUGAGCUCAAGAGCAGCAAUUUCCUGUUCCAUGGCUUCCUACCACCCUGGGUGAUGUGCAGCCUGUGAAUAACUAAAAGGUUCAUGCAUAUUAGAUAGAGAAUUGAGCAUAUGUUGGUUAGUGCUGGAAAGAUUACUAAAGGACAAGGAUGGAGGAGAGACUGGGGCAAGAAAACAUGUAGUACUCACAUAUGAGAGGUGAAGAGCAUUACAAAUGUAAUCCUUGAGGUAUGUAAGAGGAUUGUGAGGUCUGUUAUAUUUUCUAAUUAGAGUAUCUACCAUAGGUUGAGAAACAUGUGAAGACAGUGAAGGAAAAUGGAUACUAGAAGAGGAUCAGCCUGGUGAUGAUCCAACUGGUAAUGGGCUGUUAGGGAAUAGAGUUGUACCAGGGUAAGAAGUUGGAUAAGAAACAGUAAGAGUAGGAAAAGAAGAAACAGUAGAGGUAGGAGAAGGGGUAGAAGUAGAGUAUUGGUUGUCACAUGAAACCAAAAGUGAGGAGGAUUCUGAGUUUAAGGGAAAUGAAUUGUUCAAUGCGGCUGUUGGCAGAUAAGAAGCCCCUAUAGAAUCAGAUUUGAUAGAAGCAAAUAUAAAAAGUUCCUCAUGAAAUAUUACAUCUCUAGACACAAAAACUUUUAAUGUCUUCAGAUUAACCACCUUAUAACCCUUUUUGCCUUGUGGAUAGCCUAAAAAUACACAAGGAACAUCCCUUGAGUCAAAUUUGGAUCUAUGUCUUGAAAGGGUGGAGGCAAAGCAUAGACAACCAAAACAUCUUAAAUUAGAAUAGCUAGGUUUGGUUUGAAAAAGGACUUCAUAAGGAGUCUUGAACUUUAAUACUCUAGAAGGGUAUAUGUUGAUCAAAUAAGUGGUUGUGUGCAGGCAGCCCCCCCCCCCCAAAAAAAAUGAUAUAGGUAAAUGAGAUUGAAACAAUAGAGCUCUAGAUGUCUCUAGUAAGUGCCAAUGUUUUCUUUCCACAACUCUAAUCUGUUGUGGAGCGGACACACAAUUGGUUUGAUGUAUAAUCCUUUGGGAAAGAAAAAUAUCUGUUUGAACAAUUUCAGAACCCAAUUCAAAAGCAUUAUCUGAUCUGAUUAUCUUAACUUUUGUAUGAAAUUGCCUCUCUACCAUUGCUAAAUAAGAUUUUAACACAGUGAAAGCAUUUGACUUGUUACUUAGUAAGUAGGUCCAAGUCCCUCUACUGUAGUCAUCAACUAUAAUGAGGAAAUAUUUAUAACCAUCAUAGGUAGAAUCCAUAUAGGGUCCCCAAGUAUCCACAUGGAUUAGUUCAAAGAUCCUUUUGGUUGAUAUAGAACUUGAAGAAAAAGGAAGCUUGGAUUGUCUAGGCAUAGGACAAAUAAGACAAGGAGUAAAAUGAGUAAAGCAUGAAGGAACAGAAAUAUCAGAAAUUUUCUUCAUAUUAUUCAAAGACAUAUGGCCUAACCUAUAAUACCAUAGCUUUCCUUUUUACAUUGGAAUCAGAAAAAGCAAAACAAGAAUUAAAAACUGGAACAGAAUGUAAACUCUAUCUAGGUACAUAAGUACUAAACAUAGGGAAACUUUUAAAAACUGGGGUUGUAAGUCUUGAGUAUUUGAGAAUGAAGAGUCCUCAUGUCUCCUUACCAAUCUCCAGAGGACUCUUCAGUGAAGGGCCCUGUAGCAGAAAAUAAGAAUCAGGAGUGAAAAGAACAUACUGUUGGAGUUGUUUGCACAACUUGUGCACAAACAACAGAUUGAAUCUAAAGGAAGGCACAUACAAUAUAUUGUGCAAAACUAGGUUUGGUAAUAAUUCAACAGAACCUGAAUGUGUAACUUUUACUCUAUGUGAAUUAGGCAGAUUGACUAUGACAGGUUUAGGCAAGGCUUUAUAGUUAAUAAAGAAAUUUAUGUUAAAAGUCAUAUGCUCAGUUGCUCCACUAUCUAAUAUCCAUGAUUCACUAUCAAUUUGAAUGAAACAGACAAAGGAAUUUAAAAUUUUAGUUAUACCAGCACAACUCAGAUUUGUAGAGACUUCAGAGGAUCCUGCACCUUGCUAUCCUAUGUUGACCUGUUGUAGAAGCUGCAAUAAUUGUGUCAUAUUGUCCUGGGUAAGUGACUGUGUUCCUGGUACGUUAGUGUUCCUUGGAUUCCCUCUUCAUUUAUGUUAAACACGGCAUUUGCUUGUACAUUCCCUUGAAACUUCCUCUGCUUAGUGAACUUAAAAUCUGCAGGAAAUCCAUGAAUCCUAUAUCAUUUAUCAAUAGUAUGCCCAGAUUUUUUGCAGUAAGUAAAUAUUCUAGCAUUUUUUCUAAGAUAAAAACCUCUCUCAUGUCCCUUAUUUUUAUUGAACCUUCUCCCAUUUCCCUGCUGGUUUGUAGCAAGGAAAGAUCUUGAUUCUCUUGGAUAUGCAGGAGCAGCAUGAAUCUUUCUCUGCUUUUCAUCCUGUAUCACCGGUGAAUAAGUCUGUCCAAUGGAAGGUAAGGGUGAAGACAGCAAUAUAUUGCUCCUAACACCUAUGAAUAUGUUAUUCAAACCCAUCAAAAACUACAGCAACCUUUCAUCUUGAUGUACCUUAGAAUUCUUCACCUUAGCUCCAUAUUCACAUUCACAAACACAUGCUAAGAAAAUGUUCAAGGCAUCAAGCUCUUCCCAUAAGCUUUUCAUCUUAGUAAAAUAGGUUGAUACACUAGAAUUACCUUGUACCACAUUAUUAAGUUACUUUUUUAACUGAAAUAACUUAGCUUUAUUAGUUUGUCCAAAUCUGUCUUCCAAAUCACUCCACAAGUCCUUGGCACUUUAAAAGUAAAGAACACCCUCUCCUAUUUCCUUAGAUAGAGAGUUGAGUAGCCAUGACAAUACCAUGUCAUUACACCUUGCCCAAGUAUUUUGAAGUUCAGAAUCAACUUGUGGAAUAGUAAGAGUUCUAUCAAUAUAUAAUACCCAACUUAUUUUUUGCAGAUAAAGUAAUUACUACAGAUCUUCUCCAUCUACCAUAGCUUCUUCCAUCAAAAACUGUGGACACAAGAUUCAUUCCUGGAUAAUCCAAGGGAUGAAGAUAGUAGGGAUGUGAUGAAUCAACCACUCCACUUAUAACUGAAGUUGUUGGUACAACAGGGUCGAUUGUGGAAGUGGCUGAUGCGAGAGGAUCUGGAGUCUGUCCAGUGGUACUCAUAGCUGAAGAGAAGAAAACAAAAAGAAACAGCAAAAUUGUGGAAGGGUCGUGAAAAAAAUGAAGCAGUUCAAGCCUUCUCUGAUACCAUGAAGAGAAUGAUUUUGGAAAUUUUAUGUUUGUAUUUCUCUGCACAGUGUAAUCUAUUUAUACACAAGAAUAGAAUCUAGUCUAAACAAACUUUGUCAAGUGGCAGUAUUUUACUAGCCUAUUCCUAACAGUUAUUGUAACAAACUUUUGUAACAGACUAAAAGAAUAUUUAUAAAAGAAUGAUUCUAUCUACUAUGUAAA
rnacentral:lncRNA from 1 species